CUCUCAUGUCACACAAGCAGUUCCAAAGUUCUUGAGAGACACCCUGAGAGUGGCUUGUAUCACCGCCGUGUGAACGCUUGCCAUGUGUGAGUUCUCCAUAAAAGUCUUUUUGGCAAGUGGAUGUCUGGCAUUCAAACAAGCCGGCCAGCCCGUCGGACUCGUGCUCUCUGCCAUAGAGUUUAAAUGCUCGGCACUUUAGCUUGAGAAAGGACCUCAGUCCUGCCAGUGAUCUUCAGAGUCUUCCCAAGACAAUUCAGACGGAAGCCAUUCAGUUUCCUGAAUCCAGGUUUCACAGGCACACAACAAUGAGGUCAGCGCAACAGCUCUGCACACCUUCAGUUGAUGGUCAGUGUAAUACCUCUUCUGUCCCACGCCUUCCUUUGGAGCUUCCCAAAGGCUAGUCUUCCAAAAGCUGAGCUAGCUCUGGCAACACACACAUAUCAACCUUACUAUCAAUGUGUACAUCCCUGGAAAAUACACUACCAAGGCGUCUGACAACGUGACUGAAAACAUCAUGCUAAAAAGCAUGGGAGCAAACACACAGCCUUGUUUCACUCCAUCAGUGACCAGGAAAGCACGAGAGCAUCAUCCGUUAUCCAGAACCCGGGCUAUAGGAGCCGUCUCUGAAAUGCGUGUCUAGUGGUGCCAAGCUUUUCCAAUCCAUCCUUCCACACUUCAGAGAGCCCUGAACGCAUUACUCCUCAAAAUGCCUCCUGACCAGCAUCUCUACUCCUCACCCUGACAUUCAAGGUCCUGGGGCUCUUCUCACUCUUCCUCCACCCAUCUGUCAGCCUCAUCUCUCUCUACAUCCCCCUUCACACGCUCUCUCUUUGGACCAGGCUGGGUGGUCCUCCCCACUCUGACCCUAUUCUCCGCCCGCUCUCUCCCACCUCCAUGCCUUUGCCCACAUUGCCUCCCAGCUCUGUCCGCUGAGGUCUCUCCCUUCUCUCAAGGCCACCUCCUUCAUGGAGCUAUUUCAGCUAAAAGGAGCGUUUCCUCCUUCCUCCAGCUCUUCCUGGCCCUCAGCCUUGACCCAGCCUUUCAGGCCCCCUUCCCAUCCCCGAUGGACUGUAAACUCCCUGAGAGCAGGCACUUUGGGCCAUCUGAUGGGGUGCUUGGCUGCUUGCACUCAGAUGCCACUUCCAAGAUCGUAUUUCUCCCUAGCCUCAAGGCACCAUCCUUGACAGUUUCUCUCCAGCCCACGACCCUAUCUCAUGAGUAGGCCCAGUGAGGCAAACUGUCUGUCCCUGUUACAAGCACAAGCUGACCACUGUAGAAUUUCCCUUGUACAAACAGGACCAUCUUGUACCAGCAGAACUAUCGGGUACUGAUGCCCACAGUUACCGUAUACAAUCCAGAGGUCGAGCUAUAGACGUCAACUCCCGAAGCUAUCUUCUUGUACUCGUAACAGAUAACAGACCAAAAAUACACCC